AUUGAACGCUAGCGGAAUGCUUUACACAUGCAAGUCGAACGGUAGAGGGGGCAACCCCUUGAGAGUGGCGAACGGGUGAGUAAUAUAUCGGAACGUGCCCAGUCGUGGGGAUAACGUAGCGAAAGCUACGCUAAUACCGCAUACGAUCUAUGGAUGAAAGCGGGGGAUCGCAAGACCUCGCGCGAUUGGAGCGGCCGAUAUCAGAUUAGGUAGUUGGUGAGGUAAAGGCUCACCAAGCCGACGAUCUGUAGCUGGUCUGAGAGGACGACCAGCCACACUGGGACUGAGACACGGCCCAGACUCCUACGGGAGGCAGCAGUGGGGAAGUUUUGGACAAUGGGCGCAAGCCUGAUCCAGCAAUGCCGCGUGCAGGAUGAAGGCCUUC
rnacentral:rRNA from 1 species